rnacentral:rRNA from 1 species
AUUGAACGCUGGCGGCAUGCCUUACACACGCAAGUCGAACGGUAACAGGUCUUCGGAUGCUGACGUGUGGCGAACGGGUGAGUAAUACAUCGGAACGUGCCUAGUAGUGGGGGAUAACUACUCGAAAGAGUGGCUAAUACCGCAUGAGAUCUACGGAUGAAAGCAGGGGAUCGCAAGACCUUGUGCUACUAGAGCGGCCGAUGGCAGAUUAGGUAGUUGGUGGGAUAAAAGCUUACCAAGCCGACGAUCUGUAGCUGGUCUGAGAGGACGAUCAGCCACACUGGGACUGAGACACGGCCCAGACUCCUACGGGAGGCAGCAGUGGGGAAUUUUGGACAAUGGGCGAAAGCCUGAUCCAGCAAUGCCGCGUGCAGGAUGAAGGCCUUCGGGUUGUAAACUGCUUUUGUACGGAACGAAAAGCCCCGGGUUAAUACCCUGGGGUCAUGACGGUACCGUAAGAAUAAGCACCGGCUAACUACGUGCCAGCAGCCGCCGUAA